rnacentral:rRNA from 1 species
UCAUGGCUCAGGAUGAACGCUAGCGACAGGCUUAACACAUGCAAGUCGAGGGGCAGCACAGGUAGCAAUACCGGGUGGCGACCGGCGCACGGGUGAGUAACGCGUAUGCAACUUACCUAUCAGAGGGGGAUAACCCGGCGAAAGUCGGACUAAUACCGCAUGAAGCAGGGGUCCCGCAUGGGGAUAUUUGCUAAAGAUUCAUCGCUGAUAGAUAGGCAUGCGUUCCAUUAGGCAGUUGGCGGGGUAACGGCCCACCAAACCGACGAUGGAUAGGGGUUCUGAGAGGAAGGUCCCCCACAUUGGUACUGAGACACGGACCAAACUCCUACGGGAGGCAGCAGUGAGGAAUAUUGGUCAAUGGGCGUAAGCCUGAACCAGCCAAGUCGCGUGAGGGAUGAAGGUUCUAUGGAUCGUAAACCUCUUUUAUAAGGGAAUAAAGUGCGGGACGUGUCCCGUUUUGUAUGUACCUUAUGAAUAAGGAUCGGCUAACUCCGUGCCAGCAGCCGCGGUAAUACGGAGGAUCCGAGCGUUAUCCGGAUUUAUUGGGUUUAAAGGGUGCGUAGGCGGCCUUUUAAGUCAGCGGUAAAAGUCUGUGGCUCAACCAUAGAAUUGCCGUUGAAACUGGGGGGCUUGAGUAUGUUUGAGGCAGGCGGAAUGCGUGGUGUAGCGGUGAAAUGCUUAGAUAUCACGCAGAACCCCGAUUGCGAAGGCAGCCUGCCAAGCCAUGACUGACGCUGAUGCACGAAAGCGUGGGGAUCAAACAGGAUUAGAUACCCUGGUAGUCCACGCAGUAAACGAUGAUCACUAGCUGUUUGCGAUACAGUGUAAGCGGCACAGCGAAAGCGUUAAGUGAUCCACCUGGGGAGUACGCCGGCAACGGUGAAACUCAAAGGAAUUGACGGGGGCCCGCACAAGCGGAGGAACAUGUGGUUUAAUUCGAUGAUACGCGAGGAACCUUACCCGGGUUUGAACGCAUUCGGACCGAGGUGGAAACACCUUUUCUAGCAAUAGCCGUUUGCGAGGUGCUGCAUGGUUGUCGUCAGCUCGUGCCGUGAGGUGUCGGCUUAAGUGCCAUAACGAGCGCAACCCUUGCCACUAGUUACUAACAGGUAAAGCUGAGGACUCUGGUGGGACUGCCAGCGUAAGCUGCGAGGAAGGCGGGGAUGACGUCAAAUCAGCACGGCCCUUACAUCCGGGGCGACACACGUGUUACAAUGGCGUGGACAAAGGGAAGCCACCUGGCGACAGGGAGCGAAUCCCCAAACCACGUCUCAGUUCGGAUCGGAGUCUGCAACCCGACUCCGUGAAGCUGGAUUCGCUAGUAAUCGCGCAUCAGCCAUGGCGCGGUGAAUACGUUCCCGGGCCUUGUACACACCGCCCGUCAAGCCAUGGGAGCCGGGGGUACCUGAAGUCCGUAACCGCGAGGAUCGGCCUAGGGUAAAACUGGUG